rnacentral:rRNA from 1 species
UUAAUUGAAGAGUUUGAUCAUGGCUCAGAUUGAACGCUGGCGGCAGGCCUAACACAUGCAAGUCGAGCGGCAGCACGAGGGAGUUUACUCCUGAGGUGGCGAGCGGCGGACGGGUGAGUAAUGCCUAGGGAUCUGCCCAGUCGAGGGGGAUAACAGUUGGAAACGACUGCUAAUACCGCAUACGCCCUACGGGGGAAAGAGGGGGACCUUCGGGCCUC